rnacentral:tRNA from 1 species
GCACCUGUGUUUCAAUGGUAGAAUCUUCGGUUUCCACCCGAAAGACCUGGGUUCGAUUCCCGGCAGGUGCA